GGGCGCAUAGCUCAGUGGUAGAGUGUGUGCUUAGCAUGUACAAGGUCCUGCGUUCA
rnacentral:tRNA from 1 species